GGAUUUACCGUAGUCUCUAGGGUCGAAGCAGUAAACCGGGACGACGGAGACGGAAUCGUUGUUGGCGGAGGUGAGGCACUCGUUGUCGUGAAUGCGGAGGUCGUUGCGGAACCAUACGACGGCGGCGCGGCGGAGUGCGGCGGCGCCGGAGGGGUUGGAUGGGCGGAGGGGGUUAAGAGUGAGAGUGUUCUGGAGAGGGUUGGCUGAGAUGGUGGAUUUGAAGAAGGCUUUUGGUUGGGGGAGGGAAGAGGAGAGAGAAAA
rnacentral:lncRNA from 1 species